rnacentral:rRNA from 1 species
GACAGAGGUGCCGAGCGUUAGGCGGAAUCACUGGGCUUAAAGCGUGUGUAGGCGGAUUUGUAAGUACCUUGUGAAAUCCCACGGCUCAACCGUGGAACUGCUUGGUAUACUGCUUAUCUUGAGCCACUUAGGGGCAGUCGGAACAGACGGUGGAGCGGUGAAAUGCGUAGAUAUUCGCAAGAACACCAGUGGCGAAGGCGGCUCACUGGCCCGGUACUGACGCUGAGGUGCGAAAGCGUGGGGAGCAAACAGG